rnacentral:rRNA from 1 species
UUCCGGUUGAUCCCGCCGGAGGCUACCGCUAUUGGAGUUCGAUUAAGCCAUGCGAGUCGCGAGUCUUAGGGACUCGGCGUACCGCUCAGUAACACGUGGGUAACCUGCCCUAUGCUGGGGGAUAACCUCGGGAAACUGAGAAUAAUACCCCAUAGUUCACCACGCCUGGAACGGUGGGUGGAUGAAAGCUCCGGCGGCAUAGGAUGGGCCUGCGGCGUAUCAGGUUGUAGGGGGUGUAAUGUACCCUCUAGCCAUCUACGCGUACGGGUGUUGGGAGACAUCGCCCGGAGAUGGAUUCUGAGACACGAAUCCAGACCCUACGGGGUGCAGCAGGCGCGAAAACUUGGCAAUGCGAGCAAUCGUGACCAGGGAACUCCAAGUGCAUCGGGUAAGACCGAUGCUUUUCUUGACUCUUCAAAGGUCUUGGAAUAAGGGGUGGGUAAGGACGGUGCCAGCCGCCGCGGUAAUACCGGCGCCUCAAGUGGUAGUCGCUUUUAUUGGGCCUAAAACGUCCGUAGCCGGUCUGAUACAUUCGUGGGUAAAUCAACUAGCUCAACUAGUUGAAUUCUGCGAGGACGGUCAGACUUGGGACCGGGAGAGGUGUGGGGUACGCUCAGGGUAGGGGUAAAAUCCUGUCAUCCUAAGCGGACCACCUGUUGCGAAGGCGCCACACUAGAACGGAUCCGACGGUCAGGGACGAAGCCUAGGGGCACGAACCGGAUUAGAUACCCGGGUAGUCCUAGGUGUAAACGCUGUGGACUUGAUGUUGGGGGCGCUCCGAGCGCACUCAGUGUCGAAGCGAAGGUGAUAAGUCCACUGCCUGGGGAGUACGGUCGCAAGGCUGAAACUUAAAGGAAUUGGCGGGGGAGCACCGCAACCUGAGGAUUGUGCGGUUUAAUUGGAUUCAACGCCGGA